UAGCUACAGGCUUAACACAUGCAAGUCGAGGGGUAGCAGGGUAGUAAUACCGCUGACGACCGGCGCACGGGUGAGUAACACGUAUCCAACCUUCCCAUUACUCGGGGAUAGCCUUUCGAAAGAAAGAUUAAUACCCGAUAGUACUUAAUUAUGGCAUCAUGAUUAAGUUAAAGAUUUAUUGGCAAUGGAUGGGGAUGCGUUCCAUUAGAUUGUUGGUGAGGUAACGGCUCACCAAGUCUUCGAUGGAUAGGGGUUCUGAGAGGAAGGUCCCCCACAUUGGUACUGAGACACGGACCAAACUCCUACGGGAGGCAGCAGUGAGGAAUAUUGGUCAAUGGGCGAGAGCCUGAACCAGCCAAGUAGCGUGAAGGAUGACGG
rnacentral:rRNA from 1 species